GAUGAACGCUGGCGGCGUACCUAAUACAUGCAAGUCGAGCGAACAGACGAGGAGCUUGCUCCUCUGACGUUAGCGGCGGACGGGUGAGUAACACGUGGAUAACCUACCUAUAAGACUGGGAUAACUUCGGGAAACCGGAGCUAAUACCGGAUAAUAUAUUGAACCGCAUGGUUCAAUAGUGAAAGACGGUUUUGCUGUCACUUAUAGAUGGAUCCGCGCCGCAUUAGCUAGUUGGUAAGGUAACGGCUUACCAAGGCGACGAUGCGUAGCCGACCUGAGAGGGUGAUCGGCCACACUGGAACUGAGACACGGUCCAGACUCCUGCGGGAGGCAGCAGUAGGGAAUCUGCCGCAAUGGGCGAAAGCCUGACGGAGCAACGCCGCGUGAGUGAUGAAGGUCUUCGGAUCGUAAAACUCUGUUAUUAGGGAAGAACAAAUGUGUAAGUAACUAUGCACGUCUUGACGGUACCUAAUCAGAAAGCCACGGCUAACUACGUG
rnacentral:rRNA from 1 species